rnacentral:rRNA from 1 species
UAUGCUCAGGAUGAACGCUGGCGGCGUGCCUAAUACAUGCAAGUCGAGCGAGGCCCUUCGGGGCCUAGCGGCGGACGGGUGAGUAACACGUGGGUAACCUGCCUGUAAGACCGGGAUAACUUCGGGAAACCGAAGCUAAUACCGGAUAAUUUCGAGCAUCGCAUGAUGCUUGAUGGAAAGACGGUUUCGGCUGUCACUUACAGAUGGACCCGCGUCGCAUUAGCUAGUUGGUGAGGUAACGGCUCACCAAGGCGACGAUGCGUAGCCGACCUGAGAGGGUGAUCGGCCACACUGGGACUGAGACACGGCCCAGACUCCUACGGGAGGCAGCAGUAGGGAAUCUUCGGCAAUGGGCGAAAGCCUGACCGAGCAACGCCGCGUGAGCGAUGAAGGCCUUCGGGUCGUAAAGCUCUGUUGUUAAGGAAGAACAAGUACGAGAGUAACUGCUCGUACCUUGACGGUACUUAACGAGAAAGCCACGGCUAACUACGUGCCAGCAGCCGCGGUAAUACGUAGGUGGCGAGCGUUAUCCGGAAUUAUUGGGCGUAAAGCGCGCGCAGGCGGUUUCUUAAGUCUGAUGUGAAAGCCCACGGCUCAACCGUGGAGGGUCAUUGGAAACUGGGAAACUUGAGUGCAGAAGAGGAAAGCGGAAUUCCACGUGUAGCGGUGAAAUGCGUAGAGAUGUGGAGGAACACCAGUGGCGAAGGCGGCUUUCUGGUCUGUAACUGACGCUGAGGCGCGAAAGCGUGGGGAGCAAACAGGAUUAGAUACCCUGGUAGUCCAUUCGACACGUCAACGAUGAGUGCUAAGUGUUAGAGUGUUUCCGCGCUUUAGUGCUGGGGCUUAACGCAUUAAGCACUCCGCCUGGGAGACUCCACGGUCGCGGACUGAAAGGUAAGGAUUGGGUGGCCCCCCCACCCGUCGGACAGCGUGUUUUUUUACUCACAAAAACGCCAACAAUUCCACUGGUGUUCCACCUCCUCUCGACUCUCUUCAGGCGGGUCUUUUUCUUCGCGCAACCUCUUCUGGUUGUGUGCGGGUUCGUCUCCUCUCGUCGUGAUAGGUUGGGUGAUGUCUUGCCAAUCAAAGCCACCUUUAGCUUUUGUUGGCCUUUUUCUUGCAGUCCAGAUCGAGCCCCCCCGUUAACCACCCCGGGAAGGGGGGGGAUAAGUCAUAUCCUUGUGGCCCUUGAGAUGUGGGGGACACGCGUGACACUAUGGAGUGAAAAAGAAUCGUGAGACCCGAAGGUGGAACUAAUCUCUAUAAAACGUUCUCAAGUUGGAUUGUGGGGCCUCACUCCGCUACAUGCAGGUGGAAUCACUAGUAAUCGUGGAUCAGCCUGGGGUCAGUGAAUACCUUCCCCGGCCUUGUACACACCGCCCGUCCCACCGCGAGAGUUUGUUACACCCCAAAUGUGUGGGGUUACCCCUUAAUGGAACCAGGCGCCUAAGAGAGGGACAGAAGAUUGCGGUGAAGUCGUAACCAGUGACCAACAGUGUCGAUGUU